rnacentral:rRNA from 1 species
CGCGUAGGAAUCUACCUGGUAAUGGGGGACGAACCUGUGGAAACGACAGGCUAAUACCGCAUACGCCCUAACGGGGGAAAAGUAGGGGAGUCUUCGGACCUUACGUUAUCAGAUGAGCCUGCGUAGGAUUAGCUAGUUGGUGGGGUAAGUGGCCCACCAAGGCGACGAUCCUUAGCUGGUCUGAGAGGAUGAUCAGCCACACUGGGACUGAGACACGGCCCAGACUCCUACGGGAGGCAGCAGUAGGGAAUUUUCCACAAUGGGCGAAAGCCUGAUGGAGCAACGCCGCGUGCAGGAUGA